GGCACAUAACACAGCGCCCUGAACAUACCCAACUUCAUCUGUUUUUGGGAAGCUCAGAAGGGCUGAGCCUUGAUAGCACUUGGAUGGGGGACUACCAGGAAAUAGAGGAAUUGCCA
rnacentral:rRNA from 1 species